rnacentral:rRNA from 1 species
UACGGGGGGGGCAAGCGUUGUUCGGAAUUACUGGGCGUAAAGGGCUCGUAGGCGGCCAACUAAGUCGGAUGUGAAAUCCCCAGGCUCAACCUGGGAACUGCAUCCGAUACUGGAUGGCUUGAAUUCGGGAGAGGGAUGUGGAAUUCCAGGUGUAGCGGUGAAAUGCGUAGAUAUCCGGAGGAACACCGGUGGCGAAGGCGGCUUCCUGGACCGACACUGACGCUGAGGCGCGAAAGCCAGGGGAGCAAACGGG